UACGUAGGGGCGAGCGUUGUCCGAAGUUACUGGGCGUAAAGAGUACGUAGGUGGCUUGUUAAGAUACAUCUGAAAGGUGACAGCUCAACUGUCAAUGGUGGUGUAAGACUGGCAGGCUUGAGGCAAGCAGAAGAGUGUGGAACUCCGAGUGUAGCGGUGGAAUGCGUAGAGAUUCGGAAGAACACCCAUGGCGAAGGCAGCACUCUGGGCUUGAACCGCAAGGUGAACCUGACACUGAGGUACGAAAGCCAGGGGAGCGAACGGG
rnacentral:rRNA from 1 species